rnacentral:rRNA from 1 species
AGAGUUUGAUCCUGGCUCAGGAUGAACGCUAGCUACAGGCUUAACACAUGCAAGUCGAGGGGAAACGAUAUUGGAAGCUUGCUUCCGAUAGGCGUCGACCGGCGCACGGGUGAGUAACGCGUAUCCAACCUGCCCACCACUUGGGGAUAACCUUGCGAAAGUAAGACUUUUAAUACCCAAUGACGUCUCUAGAAGACAUCUGAAAGAGAUUAAAGAUUUAUCGGUGAUGGAUGGGGAUGCGUCUGAUUAGCUUGUUGGCGGGGUAACGGCCACAAGGCUACGAUCGAGUAGGGGUUCUGAGAGGAACGGUCCCCCACAUUGGAACUGAGACACGGUCCAAACUCCGUACGGGAGCA